CGGGAGCGGGGGAAGGAAAGUCCUGGAGGGAAGAUGUGUUUGUCUACUGCAGGGACACAGGCUGGACGCUUGGCUGACGGUCACCUCUGCUCCCUUUGUCCCUAAAUAGGAACGUCCGCCUCUCAGCACUGGGCUCUAUCUCCCUCAGUGAUGUCCUGCAUGUCUGUAGUUACCACUUCUACGCUGGGGACGCUGAAACUUCAUCUGUGACUCUAAUCCCACCCGAGUCUGCAUGGAGAAUACACAGUGUCUGGCUCAGAGUAGAAGAUCUUUGUUGAAAAACUACAGAAGAUGUGUUUUGGAUUUGACUUGGGAGUUGGGGUCUGGUUGGUCCAGGACCCAAGGAUUCUGCCUUCCAAACACACUAAGGGAGGAUGCAGAGAUGGGAGGACCCAGAAACACGUGGACUGUGCUUUUUGGAUAGUCAGGCUAGACCUCACUGAAGAGUGAACAUCUUCAUGUGACAUGUGUGAAGCAAGGGAGGGAACUUCAUGGAACUGCAGCAGGAAGAGCAAGUGCAAAGGCCCUGAGCAUCUCAAUGAGAAAAGACCGUAGGCAACAGCACGGAGAGAUGCCUAGUUCUGUGAAGAUUACUGCUACGUUUAGUAACAAGGAUGGGAGAGAAAUAAUCAAGAAGGAAAUGUGUCAGAAGGUGCUCAGUGUUCUGAUGCCGCCACUCUUUGGAAUCCUGCUUGCUGACACGUGGGAAUAUCAGCGCCUCGAGAUAAUGCAAUGCGCCAGGGCUUCUCCUCACUCUGCUCCUGUUUCACACCAGAGUCACAAGCCUCUGGGGUCAAUGGCAUUCAUGAUGAAAUUAAACAUCAGACACUUCUUCAUAUCUUCUCUAUAGAUAUGCUACAGAAGGCUCUCUGGUGAGAUGCUCUCUCUUCUUGAGAUACCCAAAUUAACAGACCCCGGAAUUACGCAGAGAUAAAAUUCUGAUCUGUAUUCAAUCUCUUGAUCUUUGUUGGUCUUGGGCCAGUUACAUGAGCAGCUUGGUUAGACCUGAAGGGAAGCGGGUUGUCCUUUCUUUCAGGCAAUGGGCAUGAGAAAUAGGUUAAGAAUUCAGUUGUGCAGGAUCGUAUGUGGAAUUCAGGAAACCUGGCACACCUUUCUGUGAACUACUGUGUCAGACCUCAGGGAUUCCUUCAGAUUCCCAAUCACGGGUGAAUCGAGUCUCCCAUCCAUUUUCAUCGGCUACAGUGGAAAAACAUUGUCUCUUCCUAGCUUCCCUUUGAUGUGGAACACAAAACCUUUACCGGGCCCUUUAAAAGAGGAAGAGAUUUAUGUUUCUGUUUCUGGUCCAAAGAAAAUGAAUGUGCCUUUUACAUUUUCUCAUAGACUCUCUCUGGUUGGAGCCUUCGAGAAAGCAGAGACUUAUUUCAAGUUCCGGGAGUCAGUUUCUACACCAGGGGCUCGGAGCUCAGAUGAGCCCGGUGGUGGGAACACAUAUAGAAGUACCUGCCUUGUGUUUGGGGCUCAAAGCAGACCUUGUACAGCAGGAGACUGGUGCUGAGUUUGCAGAAGUGGGGAAGAGGCCAACCACCCAUCUUCUGAUGAGCAGAUCAAAGGCAUCACAUUUCAUUGUUUCAGGGGAAAGGAAAAGGAAAAAUAAAGGGAAAGCAAAUCGAAGAAUGAAGGGAAAGGGGGAAUCCCUCUCAUAUGGAGUGUCCAUAGUAAGCAACGAGGAGCAGUUAGACUGUAUGUUGUAUGAUUUAUGUAUCAGAAGUCUUCCUCUUAAACUGUCUAGAAAUUAAGUAUAUGAUCUUUAGUUCAUGGAUGAGAAAACCAAUGCCCAGAGACCUUUCCUCCAAACACACAACUAGUUAAACUAGGAAUUGAAUCCAGAUCUUAUGAUUCUUUUCAUUGCUAGAAGAGUCAGUAUGAAAUGAAGGCUCAAUCUUAUGCUAAAUUUCUAGACUCUUUAGGAAUACAUGUGAACAUACCAGAUAAAAUACUGUAAAGGCAACUGUUUAUGGCAUUAAAAGCAGGUUAAGAAAAAAUGGGCUAAAAUACUAUGUGUAAUAUGUUCUAUUUUAUUUUUUAUAAAAUAAAAAAUACCUAUC